rnacentral:rRNA from 1 species
GACGAACGCUGGCGGCGUGCCUAAUACAUGCAAGUCGAGCGAAUGGAUUAAGAGCUUGCUCUUAUGAAGUUAGCGGCGGACGGGUGAGUAACACGUGGGUAACCUGCCCAUAAGACUGGGAUAACUCCGGGAAACCGGGGCUAAUACCGGAUAACAUUUUGAGCCGCAUGGUUCGAAAUUGAAAGGCGGCUUCGGCUGUCACUUAUGGAUGGACCCGCGUCGCAUUAGCUAGUUGGUGAGGUAACGGCUCACCAAGGCAACGAUGCGUAGCCGACCUGAGUGGGUGAGCGGCCACACUGGGACGGAGACACGGCCCAGACUCCUACGGGAGGCAGCAGUAGGGAAUCGUCCGCAAUGGACGAAAGUCUGACGGAGCAACGCCGCGUGAGUGAUGAAGGCUUUCGGGUCGUAAAACUCUGUUGUUAGGGAAGAACAAGUGCUAGCUGAAUAAGCUGGCACCUUGACGGUACCUAACCAGAAAGCCACGGCUAACUACGUGCCAGCCGCCGCAGUAA